rnacentral:lncRNA from 1 species
GAUAAGAAGCAUUCUGGUAUGGCAGGAAGACUGCUUUUUAGGUCGACGGAGCGAUAGCGAAGCCAAGCCGUAUAAAGGCGAGCAGCCCUUAUAGCAAACGGCCUACUUAUAGCCUCCCUCUAUAACGAGCAAGUAAGUAAACUAGCUGAGCUAGCCGCAUUCCUCUCGUUCUGUUCAAGAAAGGCAGUAGCCCGUUAGCAGUUCACCGGGCAAGGUGGAGUGAUUCCAAUUUCCAAGCAUGACGGAAUCAAGGAAGAUUCUCUGCAUCUGAGAUAAGUUUGUCUUGCUUCUUUCUCUCUGGCUGUGGCAUUCCUAAGGACCCAGGGUCUUCUCUUCCGAGCAGUAGCAGCAGCAGCAGCGGGAGAGUCGGUAAGUCAAUUGGGAUAGUAGGGGGACGGUGCUUCGGGUUAGCACUCUCUCUUUCCGUCGGUGAACAAGUCUCAUUCGUUUGGCCGGCCAUAAAUCAGCAUUGAAAUCCUUUUUUCCAUGGGCAUAGAAUUCUUUUUACUUACGAGUAACAGGCCCUGAAAGAGGUUCAUUAGACGAUGGCUUACUGGUAAAAAGGUAGACGGAUUUAGGGUUCUUUUUGUUGUUCGGCUCGAUAGAAUUGUUUAGAAUCCUCUCCUAGAUCCAAAGGAGGUUCAUGGCCAAGGGGAAAGAUGUCCGAGUAACGGUGAUUUUGG